ACCAUGGGUAGACGCUUAAACAAAACCCGAUUUAAAAUCCUUCGCUGGUAACAGCGUGCCGGUUCAAGUCCGGCCCCGGGUACCA
rnacentral:tRNA from 1 species